AAUCUCUAAAAUGUCUUAUAUUUAGGAACGGAGGGAGCAUAUAUCAAGCAAUUACUAAACAAGAUACACGGUCGAACUAUAUAAGGUAAUGAGGUAGCCAGUAACGGAGCUAGAAUCAGACCAUGUUCCAGACAAACUGUAAAGCUACAGUGUAAUACAAUACGGUACAGUGAAUAUUUUGCUACAGUCAACAAAGAAAAUCAUCAUCACCCCCUAGGCCGAGGCCCUGGCUGCCAGGGGCCUGGAUCCGCCUCGGGAGGUGCAGAUUAAGAAGCCAUAUUGUAUUUACUUGUAGUAUUGUAUUUUGACAUGAUACGACUUCACCCAAAUAAUAUAGAACUUCACCCAAGUAAUAUACAAGACUAUCAGGUGAAGUUAACUAAUUGAAACAAACGUUAGGUUACUAGGCUUAUUCCUUCCUCUGCAUAUAUAAAGGCGCUACAUUUUGUGCGUGUGUUUGGGGUGGGUGAGGGGGGCAUUGGUUACAGUCUGUAAUAAGCAUCUCAUAAAAUCGACUGUUGAUAAAUAGUUUCACCAACUACACCUUAUAUUAUAUACAUGAUUCUCUUAUAUAUAUAGGCAACCAUCAAGAUGAAUGGUUCUCUUCAUGCUUGCUAUUCAUUGAGUUAGAACACAUAAGAAAUUUUGUGCUACAGCCUUCAAUAGCCAAAAUGCAAGAAAAAAAAGAUAGAAAAGGAGAGACUAGCUUAGUUUGAGCAUAGGAGACAUCAGGAAUGUAACACAUAAGAUCAAGCCAGAAAAAAUUGCAUAAGUAGGUGAUGCUUUGAUGCAACAACAAUAUGUGCUCUCUGAGAAGGAACAUUGUGGUUUAUUAAUGAGGAAGAAAUGUAGCAAUACACGUAACUUUUUAUUUCUUCUGCAAUAUGCUCGUGCGAGAUGUAUUUGCCCUACGACACACACAGGGUGCUCAACAAUAUACCCAUGCAAGACCAUGUUGUGUGGAAGGCUCUGAUUGUAGGAUGCGGCGGCAUUGAUACUUUUGCAGUCUGCGUUGCCCGUCUAUGUUGACACUUUUGCAGCCCGUGGUGGCAUUGAUGAUCUUGUGAAUGUCUGCACAACGAUCGUUGACAUGUACUGCGAAUGGAGGACAAUGUCUGGGCGGAUGCUAGUCAAGAACAUUGUGUCGUUAAAUGACAUAGUUGCUCAAUAUUACCCACAGUGGGAAUCUUGCGGUUGCAUAUGGGUCAUUCACAUAACUACUGGUACAAUAGUUCUGAUAAGGGAGAGCAUAUAAUGACUGUCACAAUGGAACCAAGCUAAUAUCUCUAGUGACAGGGUGGGAAAUAAUCAUGUGUAAUAUCAAACAAUUCCACCAUUUGAAUGAAAUUGUUCAUAUGGUGACUACUAGUAGUGAAGUGUUGAAAGAAGUACGAAUAUUGAUUUUGAGAUGAUACAACUUCACACAGCUAAUAUAAAAGUAAGACUAUAAUUUUUUUGGGGCAGCUUAAAAACAAACUGUCUCUUCCAGCUUAAAAAAUAAACCGUUU
rnacentral:lncRNA from 1 species